CGAACAGACGAGGAGCUUGCUCCUCUGACGUUAGCGGCGGACGGGUGAGUAACACGUGGAUAACCUACCUAUAAGACUGGGAUAACUUCGGGAAACCGGAGCUAAUACCGGAUAAUAUAUUGAACCGCAUGGUUCAAUAGUGAAAGACGGUUUUGCUGUCACUUAUAGAUGGAUCCGCGCCGCAUUAGCUAGUUGGUAAGGUAACGGCUUACCAAGGCGACGAUGCGUAGCCGACCUGAGAGGGUGAUCGGCCACACUGGAACUGAGACACGGUCCAGACUCCUACGGGAGGCAGCAGUAGGGAAUCUUCCGCAAUGGGCGAAAGCCUGACGGAGCAACGCCGCGUGAGUGAUGAAGGUCUUCGGAUCGUAAAACUCUGUUAUUAGGGAAGAACAAAUGUGUAAGUAACUAUGCACGUCUUGACGGUACCUAAUCAGAAAGCCACGGCUAACUACGUGCCAGCAGCCGCGGUAAUACGUAGGUGGCAAGCGUUAUCCGGAAUUAUUGGGCGUAAAGCGCGCGUAGGCGGUUUUUUAAGUCUGAUGUGAAAGCCCACGGCUCAACCGUGGAGGGUCAUUGGAAACUGGAAAACUUGAGUGCAGAAGAGGAAAGUGGAAUUCCAUGUGUAGCGGUGAAAUGCGCAGAGAUAUGGAGGAACACCAGUGGCGAAGGC
rnacentral:rRNA from 1 species